rnacentral:rRNA from 1 species
UACGUAGGGUGCGAGCGUUAAUCGGAAUUACUGGGCGUAAAGCGUGCGCAGGCGGUUCUGAAAGUCAGCUGUGAAAGCCCCGGGCUUAACCUGGGAAUUGCGGUUGAAACUACAGGGCUAGAAUCUGGCAGAGGGGGUGGAAUUCCACGUGUAGCAGUGAAAUGCGUAGAGAUGUGGAGGAACACCGAUGGCGAAGGCAGCCCCCUGGGCUGAGAUUGACGCUCAGGCACGGAAAGCGUGGGGAGCAAACAGG